AUGCUUCCCAUUUCUGGCCUGCUAUAUUUCGUAGAAUUCCUGUCAGGAGACAACUCAAGUCUUGGGUUUUUGGAUUUUUUUUUUUUUUUCAGCCUUAGGAUGUCACCCAUAGCUCACAUAGCACAUACCACAGUUCAUGGCUGUGAGCAGAGCAGGAGGAGCAUCAUGACUGCAUUGGUUCUGAGGGCCCUUGUCACCUGGCCUCUUCUCUACCAAACAUUUACUACUUACCUCAGAAAUGGUUUUGCUUUGAAGAAUCUGUGGAGGGAAGGUCGACUUCAAAAUCAAGGUGCCACGUCCUCUCCCUUGGACUGCAUAGUGGAGCUGGAAACAUGGGAGAUCCCAGUGGAGUCCUUUGCAUUCAUAAGCACCAAACAUACCGGGACCCAGACUUCAUGGGGCUGGACUUUCUUCUUGGUGUAGAAAUCACAUGGCCUCUUCAAGGAAGAAGCCCCUCACUACCGCGGACCUCCACGUGGGCCAUUCCACAGUCUCUGACCCAAAGACAGUCCUGUGGACCCUCAGAGCUCCUGUGUCUCUAGAAUGCGUAGCCCUAUGCUCCCCGCUGUCGCCCAGCCCGCCCGCGCCGGCGUUUUCCUGUCCAUCUUGCAGGCAACCCUGCCUCCAGGCCGUGCCCUCUCCAAGCCUGGUCUCCUCUAAGGAUUUCCCUGUGGAUGAGCCCUGGGGAUCUUCUCCUAAUCUGUUUUUUAAUGUGUUAUUCCAGAAAGAAUUCUUCAUAAUCUCCAACACUGUGAUCGCUUCUUUCUAGCUUCUUCUGUGCAUGCAUGUUUUUACCUAUUUCACAUUUGCUUGGUUCUUUCUUUUCUUUUUUCUUCUUUCUUUUUAUUUCCUAAGUGACUUUUUUCAGGAUUUUUUUUUUUUUUUUUUUUUUUUUUUUUUUUUUUUUUUUUUACCGAGGAGUAGUGAACAUACAGUGAAGUCAGAAGUCCUAAGCAUCCUUCUUAGGGAAUUUUUAUAAUGUGUCUACUCUAUUGCCACCCUCCUGAUCAAGAUAUUUCUUAUGGUGUUAAGAAGCUGCGGUGGGAGAUUGGAUAGACAGGGAAAUCAUGAGUGUGUAAGUUCGUAUCUUUUUUUUUUUUUAAGAUUUAUUUAUUUUAGAGAGAGAGCGUGCGUGCUUGUGAAUGAGGAGGGGGCAGGGGCAGAGGGAGAGAGAGUCUCAAGCAGACUCCUGGCUCAGCAUGUGGAACCCAGCACCCGGCUCCAUUGCUCGAGCCUGAGAUCAUGACUUGGGUCGAAAUCAAGAGUCAGAUGUUUCACUGACUGAACCACGCAGGUGCCCCUUCCAGCUUUUUCUGGAACGGUCUUUGGAGGGUGUUCAGGAGGGAGCAGUGGUGUAGAGAGCAGAGUGGCAAGGAGUGGAGGGUCGUGUUCUGGUCCUCCCGUCACUAGCCGUGGGACUUCUGCGCCUCAGUUUCAACGACUGUAAAAUGGGAGUAGAUGAUAGCUCCUACCUCACAAGGUUGUCAUGAAGAUUACAUGAGGCAGGACAUGUGAGCGCACAAAAAAAUGUUAAUUGUUGUUUUUGUUGUUAUUAAUAAGAAGGAGGAGGAGGAGGGGGAGGAGGCAGUGGUUCUUAAUGAAGGACACGCAUCACAGCCACCUGGGGCACUUUUGCAAAAUACACGUGCUCCACCUGGCCAGACCUACUGAGUCAGAAUCUCGAUUUUAAAUGCCUCUCCAAGUGACCUGUUGCUCAUCUAUGGUUAAGAACCACUGGGCUGGGGGUGGUCGUGACUGGAAGCAGGAAGACCGGUGGCUGGGCCCUGUGAAGGUGAGGGCUGGAGAGGGUCCGAGCUGGGCAGAGUCGUGGCAGAGUGGAGAGGUGGCCCGGACGUGGCGACCUUGGGUGGGGAGCAAGGAAGGAGGGGGAGGAGUCUGGGGUGACUCACGGGUGCUGACCUGGAUGAUGGAGUGAGCAAGUGGAGGAUGAGCCAGAAACCAGAACACAGGAGGGGGCCAGGGGGCCGCGGACGGCUCGGGUUCUCCUGGGCCUGCUGCGGGAGGCUCCUGGUAGCGAUGACCAGUUAGCACUGGAGCCCCUAGGCCCGCGCGGGUGUUAUUUCUCGGGGAGUCAUUGGCGUGAAGGAGCUGGAGGCCUGGACCUAGUGGUAAAGCAAGUGCAGGGAGCGGAGGAGGGCCAAGGACGGGCGUCCCCCCGGGAAGGCCUGCGCCCACUCUUCCUGCUCCCUUCCUACAAGGGGAGAAGCGCUUACUCCUGGGGUCGAGCCCCCUUGCUGACGGCUGCUGGGAACGGACUCACUUGAAGAUGAGUAAUGACUGUGGGUCACUUCCUCCCAGUUCUCAAGGUUUUCCACAUCCCCCGAUAGAGGAGCUUAUCCUCAUUCUCUGGACCCCCAGGCAGCUCGCGUGGCCAGGGCCGCGUCUUAUCGUCUGACGUCCCUCCGUCCUAUGCGCGGCCUCCCGUCGAUGGCUUCUUAGACUCUGGCUUUCUUCAUUCUGUUCAUAUCGCCCGUUGCCCUUUGGUAAGAAUUUAAGUCAUUCCGCUACGUCUCCAGAGACACUUAGACCUGCAGGUUUAACAGACGUAACAGAAGCUGUUGGAUUCCUGGGGGGAGGCGCCUAGAAUGAGCGGAGCAUUUGCUCGUUCUAGAAUGUGUCUGUCCAGGGCAGCCCGGGGGGCUCAGCGGUUCAGCACCUGCCUUCGGCCCAGGGGGUCAUCCUGGAGACCCAGGAUCGAGUCCCGCAUCGGGCUCCCUACAGGGAGCCUGCUUUUCCCCCUGCCUGUGUCUCUGCCUCUCUCUGGGUCUCUCGUGAAUAAAUAAAUAAAAUCUUAAAAAAAAACCCAGAAUGUGUCUGUCCAGUAGACGCUGCUGCUUUGGUGGGAACGUUCUGCGCCGCACCGUAGGCGGGCCGCCAGCCACAUGUGGCUGUCGGGGGGCCAGGAUGUGGCUACUAUAACUGAGGAAUUGAAUUUUUCAUUUUAAUAGUUAACUGAAAGUUAAAUUUAAAUUGGCAAAAGAAAAGCAGGCACUAUCCCUGAGAGAGGGGGGCACCAGGCCUGACCCCCCACUCCCACCCAGGGUCACAGGUAACUUUGCAAGGGGGUGCUUGGAGGCAGACCAGCUUUCCUCCCCGGCAGCUCUAACCUCAGCCCCUAGCCUGCCCCCAGGAAGGCGGCGUCUGCAGCUCCGGCCCACAGGUCCCCCGCCUCGUCCCCCCCGCCCGUUGCCCACGUUGCCCACGCCUCUCCUUCCAGCCUUGCUGCGCCCUCCCUGCCCCUGCUCGUGCCGCAGCCCGCCCCGCUCCGUCCAAGGAGGCUUCCCGACCGACCAACCGACCUUGCCUUCCAGGUGCCGCCACCUGAGGACCUUGAAGAGUCCUGUGGACCUCUCAUCAGAGGUGGGCGGUAGCAGAGACGGGUCCCGGGGAGAUGAGCCGCAGGAUGCGUGCGUGCUCUUCGGUUACUGCGUCCCAAACUUCCUUGACCACCGCUCCCUGUGAGAAAUCUAUCUCCUGUCCCAACCGCCCCACACACCGACACACAGAUAAGUGAAACCGAAGCAAAAGUUUUAUAAAGAUAACCCCCUCGUUGUGUGCGAUGCACUUGGAUAUCUUCUGUUCUAUUUACUUUUUAAAGAAAAUUGCUGGCCGUGAC
rnacentral:lncRNA from 1 species